AACCACACCUUUGGUAAUCAUCAAUUUAAGGCCAGGUGUGUCUGGCUCACACUUUUAAUCAGUUUGUUGUGAGGCAAGUCAAGUUGAUCUAUUGUUCUGGUGUACAGGACCAAUCGGGUUGUUUGAUGAAACAAAGCUUCAGAUGUCAAUGAUCAUGUGCUUCUGAAAGUGAUACAGGCAUCGGCACACUGCUUUGAGUUUAGGUAUGGCAGCAACACAAUUUGAAAAUGGACCACAUGUGGCAGCGGGGCACAUUGGGCCACACCAGCCAGUUCCUCAGCCCAACCCUGGCACAUGGCACCCAGUGCAUGGACCCGAAGGAUCAGGGCCCCAUCUAACCGAUCAUCAGCCCCAUCCUCAUGUGCACCAGUCUCGACCCUACUUCUAUGUGCAGCCCCCUCCUCCUCUCCCCCUCUACCACUACCAGUGGCCCAUGCCCUACAACCCCUGCUCUGGAUUUCCAGGAAUGGCUAAGUUUAAAUG